UGGGGAAUUUUGCACAAUGGAGGAAACUCUGAUGCAGCGACGCCGCGUGAGUGAUGAAGAUCUUCGGAUUGUAAAACUCUGUCCUUAGUGAAGAUAAUGACAGUAACUAAGAAGCAAGCCCUGGCUAAAUACGUGCCAGCAGCCGCGGUAAUACGUAUGGGGCAAGCGUUGUCCGGAAUUAUUGGGCGUAAAGGGUACGUAGGCGGUUUAAUAAGUCCUAAUUAAAGGCUAUGGCUCAACCAUAGUAUGGUUAGGAAACUGUUGAACUUGAGUAGAUGAGGGGAAAGUGGAAUUCCAUGUGUAGCGGUGAAAUGCGUAGAUAUAUGGAGGAACACCAAUGGCGAAGGCAACUUUCUGGAAUCAAACUGACGCUGAGGUACGAAGGCGUGGGGAGCAAACAGG
rnacentral:rRNA from 1 species